rnacentral:rRNA from 1 species
AUUGAACGCUGGCGGCAGGCUUAACACAUGCAAGUCGAGCGGAGAUGAGGUGCUUGCACCUUAUCUUAGCGGCGGACGGGUGAGUAAUGCUUAGGAAUCUGCCUAUUAGUGGGGGACAACAUUCCGAAAGGAAUGCUAAUACCGCAUACGUCCUACGGGAGGAAGCAGGGGAUCUUCGGACCUUGCGCUAAUAGAUGAGCCUAAGUCGGAUUAGCUAGUUGGUGGGGUAAAGGCCUACCAAGGCGACGAUCUGUAGCGGGUCUGAGAGGAUGAUCCGCCACACUGGGACUGAGACACGGCCCAGGCUCCUACGGGAGGCAGCAGUGGGGAAUAUUGGACAAUGGGGGAAACCCUGAUCCAGCCAUGCCGCGUGUGUGAAGAAGGCCUUAUGGUUGUAAAGCACUUUAAGCGAGGAGGAGGCUACUGAGACUAAUACUCUUGGAUAGUGGACGUUACUCGCAGAAUAAGCACCGGCUAACUCUGUGCCAGCCGCCGCAGUAACAC